rnacentral:lncRNA from 1 species
CGCUGCGCCAUGAGCAAAGUCUGCGGCCCCUCACUCGGCGCGGCUCCGGGAACACUGGGGCGGGGGUGGGUGAUUCAGUCCCCCACCCCCGGGUGUCCUGACUCCCUGGUGGCCCUGGGCUGACAGCUCCACACCUUGGGAGGCCGCACCCCCACCUGCCGCAUUUCCUCGUUCUGAGUCACCCUUGCUCAGAACGCUUGACUUUGGGACUUCCUGUCCGCACUCGCGGCCCCUAACCUGCCCCGGGAGCCCGGGAGUGCGGCUUGGGAAGGAGGGAAAGGAGUGUGUGAGCAGGGAUUGGCCCGAACCUAUCUCCACGCUCUCCCCCGGGACUGGAGGUGAAGGGGGGCGUGGAGAAAAUCUCAGGGAACAGGGGCUUCGACAGGGGGCUCCCGCCCGCCCGAGCCCCCUCCCCAAAAUGCGAGGCCUGCACAGUAUGCCUUCUCCGCAAAACCUCGGCAAGCGGGUUAGUGAAUUCAGGUCACUAAGAAGCUGAGCCCGCGGAAAGCUGCCCAAACACCCCCUUCUCUAGGGGACUCCCCACGCCCCCCGCCGGGACGCGUUCCCGAAGUCGCCGCCUGGACUGCAACCGCGUGGCCUGCGCCGCGUCCUCUUCUCCGCAGCCUCCGAGGCCCGUGCGACCAAGCUGAAACCGCUUAUUCUCCGGAGCCCCUAUGACCCCGGGUGGGGGCCAGGGCUCGCCUCGAUCGCAGCCCGUGCGCCCUCCGGACUCCAGUUCGCCGGGACUGGGCGACACCAGAAGCGGCUAGUGUGAGUGAAACAAACGGGAAAUUUGCUCUGGCCCGCCUGCCCAGCCACCCACGGCUGCCUGUUGGCCAAUCACCAUUUGACCAGUCCAGGAAGAGCAACUGUGGCAGGCCUGAUUUCCUGGGAGGCCCCAGACUCCCUUUGCCUACCUCUUCCUCUCUGACCCCAUCCUCGCUUUGAUGCCCGGGACCUGCUACCCAGCCUCUGUGAGCAGCACACUCCCCAUUUCACAGACAAGGAAACUGAGGCUUACACAAGUGAAGUGACCUGCUCGACGUUGCACAAGGAAGUGGCAAAGUCAGCCUCUGAAUCCAAGCCGUUGGGCUCUAAAGGCCCUGAUGCCACUCAGCUAACCAUGUGGCCUCUGGACAUCACUGCCAUCUUUUCUCUUACCCUCCUCUCCUCCUUGCACUGUGUUCUGAGGGUCAGCCUGACAACCCGUGUCCCCUGGGCAGAUGUGCAGAGGAAGAUCAAGUUGUUGUUCGCCAGGGGCCGAGGGCAAAUUUCUGGCUUCCCACGGCCACCACUUACUGGGAGUUUCGGAUGAGGUGCUUCACUGCCCUGAGCUCUUCUUCCGGGUCAAGUGGGGAUAAAAAUAAAACAAUACCCACCUUGUGGGAAGACAUGGGAUCCUGAAAAACCUGGCAACGUGCCUGGCACAUGGCAAGUACUCCGUAAAUGUCAGCUAGGAUUAUUUUUAUCAUUGACACCAUAUUUGGGGGCCCCAGGCUGGCAGAGUACCUGCCAGGUGUCACCCCCUUCCUGAGUCCUGACAGUUUGGCUGCAGGCCUGCGUGGAGGCUUGGAAGGAAGAAGGGAGGAAAGGAGGAAAGGAGGAAAGGAGGAAGGGGUCAGGGAAGCCCCUCUGUUUGUUUUCUGUCUCUGAGAACUUCCCAGUCUGACUCUAGCCCCUUCCCCUCCCUGCAGGCACUAACACACAAGUCCCCCAUUCACCAGAAAUCUGUCCCAGGCUCCCUGGCUGCCAUGCUCCCUGGAUAAACCCACCAGGAUGCCCUCAGCCCCUGAGGGAAGAGGAGAGAGCUUACACUCCUCCGGGCCCCUAUUUCCACGCCCAUCACCAGGCCUGGGCCCUCACAAGGCUACACACACACCAGGAAGUGCCAGGAACACAGCCACGCCAGAGCUCUCACAGAUGCCUGUGCACACACACACACACACACACACACCUUUCCAGGCAAACUUGCAUACACUUUCCUAAUGGCCAGGUCUCAGGGGCUCUGUAGGGACCACCUCGGGACAGGACAUGGUCUUCCCUCCCCCAUUCCCAUUCCCCUUCCUGCCCUGUUUCCCUCUGUCUGUCCAUCCAUCUUCAUCAACCAGUCCCAGUGGGCCCCUGCUCACUCCCUCCGUUCCCCCUCCAUCCGUCCGUCCACACAUGGGUCCAUCUGUCUGUCGCCUGCCUGUAGCUAGCCCUGCAGUGAGCAGUCUAUCCCUACCCAGCCCUGCCCAUCACUUCUGCCACAACACCCCUGCAAGAUCCUGUCCCUGUCCUCAGCAGGGUCUCUCAUCAUUUCUCUAGAACCCACCCAUCUAUCCCCCCACCCCUUCAGCUGUGUCCUUCAUCUGUCAAUCUGUCCAUCCAUCCAGCCAUCCAUCCAUCCAUCCAUCCAUCCAUCCAUCCAUCCAGCCAUCCAUCCAUCCAUCCAGCCAUCCAUCCAUCCAUCCAGCCAUCCAUCCUUCCUUCCUUCCUUCUUCCUUCCUUCCCACCUUGGCCCAGCCCCUCUCAGCCCCCUCUGCAUCCCAUCCAUCACUUCUCAGACAGGCCUCCCCAGCCAGGUAGUCACCUCCUAGCGGCUCCAUCUGUCUGUCUGUCUACCAACCCAUCCAUCCAUCUGUCUGCCAGCCCAUCCAUCAUGCCACAGGCCACUUGUCCAUUCUUGCCACCUUUCACAUGUUCCCUAGUUAGGCCCCUGUGGUAUCCCCCAGCCAGCGCAGUGUAGGUGGGGGGCGUGUGUUCAUGUCAGUAGAUAUGUCUGUGGCCGCCAGCAUGCCUUGUGCUGAGCAGAGGGCAAGGGACCUGGAUGAGGAGCUGGGGAGGGGUUGGGGACAGGAAGACUGGGAACCUCUUGGUGGGGGGCACAGCAGCUUCCCUGUGUAUUCUCCCUGUGGUCUGUUGCACCAUAGGCAUCAAUGGCCUGCUCAAAAAUAAAUACACGACUGGAAAACUCUCCCACCUCCAUUCUUUUUCCUUUUUGGGGGGGUGGUGGGGACAGAGUCUUGCUUUGUC